CACAUGGUGGGGAGGGGUCACUCAGGCUAGGCCAGUGUGUAUAUGUGAGGUGGGAGGUAUACUGUAUAGGCGAGGACAGCUAGGUCCUGGCCAGACGGGAGUAUGUGGUGGUGGUGGGAGAGGGUGCUGCAGACAGUGUGAAACAGCCAUCAGGGGUAGGGGCUGACAGAGGUGGUGAUUUACCCGUGUCCUGUGUGGGAGAUGGUGAUGUGGAGUUGUUUUGGGGGAGCCCAGCGUGGAGGAUUCUCGACUUCCACCCUAGGGCGAGGGCUGUGAAAUCUGAAAUAAUCAGGGAGCGCUAUUGGGAGGAGGAGGAGCCAGAGACCGUGAUGUAACCCUGGAAACCGAGAGGGGAGUCACCUUAGUGAAAGAUGAGAGGGAAAGGCCUGGGGUCGGAAAGCUGAGUGUGCUUGUGCGUGUGCGUACGUGUAUGUGCGUGUGUGCUGAAGUAAUGAUGUCACGAGGCCGGAGAAAUGGGGUCAGGUGUGUGGGCCAGAGUGGGGUGCUGGGGUGUGCUCGCGAAGCGCACAAGGUUGAAGUGCUGACGUCACGGGUUGGCGAGGGCGGGGCCUCGAAUGCAGGGUCUGGAAGCUGAGACGAAGAGAAGCUAGGAGAGUCUUGGGACUGGAAUGAAACCAGCAACCAGGAUGGGCCACUGGUCACAGAGCAAGGAUGGAGGAUGCAGCGACACUGGCCAUGGACCAGCCAGCUGGCCUGCAGGUGGAUUACGUCUUCCGGGGUGUGGAGCAUGCUGUGCGGGUGGUGGUGUCUGGGCAGGUGCUAGAGCUGGAAGUGGAGGACCGGAUGACGGCUGAUCAGUGGCGGGGCGAGUUCGAUGCCAGCUUCAUCGAAGAUCUGACUCACAAGACGGGGAACUUCAAACAGUUCAACAUCUUCUGUAACAUGCUGGAGUCGGCUCUCACUCAGAGCAGUGAGUCAGUCACCCUCGACCUGCUGACCUAUACGGAUCUGGAGUCCCUGCGGAAUCGCAAGAUGGGGGGCCGCCCAGGCCCCUUGGCCUCAAGAUCGGCCCAGCUCAACUCCAAGCGCUACCUGAUCCUCAUCUACUCUGUGGAGUUUGACAGGAUUCACUACCCGCUGCCCCUCCCGUACCAGGGCAAGCCAGACCCUGUGGUCCUGCAGGGCAUCAUCCGCUCGCUGAAGGAGGAGCUGGGCCGCCUUCGAGGGCUGGACGGCCAGGAUGCUCGGGACACCCGGGAGACUGAGAUCUGGCACCUGAGGGAGCAGGUUUCACGCCUGGCAACUGAGAAGCGAGAACUGGAGGCCCAGCUGGGCCAAUCACGAGAGGAGGCUCUGGCCGGAAGGGCGGCGCGCCAGGAGGCUGAGGCCCUGCGUGGGCUCGUCCGGGGCCUGGAGCUAGAGCUGCGGCAAGAGCGGGGACUUGGACACCGCGGGGUUGGCCGCCGCAGCCAGGAUUGCCGGCGCCUGGCCAAGGAGCUCGAGGAGGUGAAGGCUUCAGAGCGGAGCCUGCGCGCCCGGCUUAGGACAGUGAACAGCGAGCUGGCCGUGUACAAGAGGGGGAGACGGACUCCGCCGGUGGCGCUGCCCCGGGCUCGGGAGGAUCGGGCUUCGUCGUCGCGGGAACGCUCCACAUCGCGUGGUCGCGGUGCCACCCGCUCUUCUUCCCGGGAGAGUGGCCGGGGGGCCCGGGGUCGAGGCCGCCCUGCCCUCCCCUCACCCUCGCCCACAGGUAGUCGCGGGCCCCGUUUCGACCCCACAGCUUUUGUGAAAGCCAAGGAGAAGAAGCAGAGAGAGAUCAAGAUGAAGCAGCAGCAGCAGCGGAACCGAUUGGGCAGCGGAGGAAGCGGGGACGGUCCGUCCAUCUCCUGGUCUCGCCAGACUCGGCCCCCUGCUGCUGUGAGCGGCCGAGGGGACACAGCUAACCGCUCCCGAAACCGCAGCUCCUCGGUGGACAGUUUCCGCAGCCGCUGCUCCUCGGCCAGCUCCUGCAGCGAGUUGGAGGAUUUCUCCGAAUCCCUUCCUAGAGGCGUUCCCCGCCGCCGCCGCCGCCGCGGGAAGCCUCCCAGCCCCACAACCUGGGGUGGGUCCAACACGCAGCAGAAGUCCACCUCUCUGGAACGCGGCCGUCAUCAGAGACGCCUGACCAAUUCAGGGGGCUGGGUCCCUAUAAAAGAAUACAGCUCCAACCACCAGGCGGCAGACAUGGCUGAAAUAGACGCUCGCCUGAAGGCCUUGCAGGAAUAUAUGAACCGACUGGACACACGGUCGUGACCUCGACGGGGAGUACUGCCCCUCCAUCCCCCACCCACUGCUGGAUUCGGAGUGGGGGGGGGCGGGGCUGGCGUAUCCUUCCAGACCCACUCAGGCUCCUCCCCUGCUGGUGCUCACGGGGGUUUCAGCCGCCAGAGGGAGCUGCUUCCAUCUAACAGGCUCACAUCCCUCCCAUGGUUCCUGUGUUCCAUGGUGGUCCACAAGGCCCUGCGACCAGGGCCAUAUUCGCACUGUUUUUGUGUCCCCCAUCCCAGCACCCGGGCAGGGCCUGGCAUAUAGUAAGUGCCUAAGGGCAAGAGCCCAUGAACUUGGGGUUCCCAUUGCAUGCCAGGUGGUGUCCUAAGGGCUUUGCAUGUAUGUAUUGGCUGAUUUAGUGACCCAGUGGGGGCCACAAGCUGACUUUGCAGAGGGGGGAGAGGAAACUAAAGUGGGGAGAGGGUUCGUGACCCUGCCCCAGGUCUCAGCCAGCAACAAGCAGAGCUGAGAGUGGACCCUACCGCUCCCCCUGCAACCUCUCCCCCCCGCCCCACUGAACUAGCCUG